GUAACGCGUGGGAACCUGCCUUUAGGUUCGGAAUAACAGUUAGAAAUGACUGCUAAUACCGGAUAAUGUCUUCGGACCAAAGAUUUAUCGCCUUUAGAUGGGCCCGCGUAGGAUUAGAUAGUUGGUGGGGUAAUGGCCUACCAAGUCGACGAUCCUUAGCUGGUCUGAGAGGAUGAUCAGCCACACUGGGACUGAGACACGGCCCAGACUCCUACGGGAGGCAGCAGUGGGGAAUAUUGGACAAUGGGCGAAAGCCUGAUCCAGCAAUGCCGCGUGAGUGAUGAAGGCCUUAGGGUUGUAAAGCUCUUUUACCAGGGAUGAUAAUGACAGUACCUGGAGAAUAAGCUCCGGCUAACUCCGUGCCAGCAGCCGCGGUAAUACGGAGGGAGCUAGCGUUGUUCGGAAUUACUGGGCGUAAAGCGCACGUAGGCGGCUUUCCAAGUCAGGGGUGAAAUCCCGGGGCUCAACCCCGGAACUGCCCUUGAAACUGGGUGGCUAGAAUACUGGAGAGGUGAGUGGAAUUCCGAGUGUAGAGGUGAAAUUCGUAGAUAUUCGGAAGAACACCAGUGGCGAAGGCGACUCACUGGACAGUUAUUGACGCUGAGGUGCGAAAGCGUG
rnacentral:rRNA from 1 species